rfam:Otolemur garnettii contig128040, whole genome shotgun sequence.
GUAGGUUACGGGGACAUGUACCCCAUGACAGUGGGGGGCAAGAUCGUGGGCUCCCUGUGCGCCAUCGCAGGGGUCCUCACCAUUGCUCUGCCUGUGCCGGUCAUCGUCUCCAAC